UACAGAGGUCUCAAGCGUUGUUCGGAUUCAUUGGGCGUAAAGGGUGCGUAGGUGGCGCAACAAGUCACUUGUGAAAUCUCCGGGCUUACCCGGAGCGGCCAAGUGAUACUGUCGUGCUAGAGUGCGGAAGGGGCUACUGGAAUUCUCGGUGUAGCGGUGAAAUUCGUAGAUAUUCGCAAGAACACCAGUGGCGAAGGCGGCUCACUGGCCCGAUACUGACGCUGAGGCACGAAAGCGUGGGAGCAAACAGG
rnacentral:rRNA from 1 species